GAUGAACGCUGGCGGCGUGCUUAACACAUGCAAGUCGAACGAUGAAGCCCAGCUUGCUGGGUGGAUUAGUGGCGAACGGGUGAGUAACACGUGAGUAACCUGCCCUUAACUCUGGGAUAAGCCUGGGAAACUGGGUCUAAUACCGGAUAGGAGCGUCCACCGCAUGGUGGGUGUUGGAAAGAUUUAUCGGUUUUGGAUGGACUCGCGGCCUAUCAGCUUGUUGGCGAGGUAAUGGCUCACCAAGGCGACGACGGGUAGCCGGCCUGGGAGGGUAACCGGCCACACUGGGACUGAGACACGGCCCAGACUCCUACGGGAGGCAGCAGUGGGGAAUAUUGCACAAUGGGCGAAAGCCUGAUGCAGCGACGCCGCGUGAGGGAUGACGGCCUUCGGGUUGUAAACCUCUUUCAGUAGGGAAGAAGCGAAAGUGACGGUACCUGCAGAAGAAGCACCGGCUAACUACGUGCCAGCAGCCGCAGUAA
rnacentral:rRNA from 1 species